rnacentral:lncRNA from 1 species
GGAGGACACGCCCCUUUCAUGUCUUUGGAAAAGAAUGAAUGAAACCUGGUGGAAAAAGGAGGUUCUCCCUAUGUAUCCCUAGAUGGCCUGAACGCCAUAUUGUGGACCAGGAUAGCCUCGAACUCACAGAGUUCUGCCUACGUUUACUUUCAACUGGGAUUAAAGGUGCUGUGUUCCUGAAAUAUCCAGCUGAGUGGCCCAAAGUGGCAAGAAGAAGAAGAAGAAGAAGAAGAAGAAGAAGAAGAAGAAGAAGAAGAAGAAGAAGAAGAAGAAGAAGAGCUCAAUAGCCAAAUGGCUCAGCAGCAAAGAAUUCUUCCAGCAAAGAAUGUUCUUGAGCCUGAAAUUAAGGUGGGAACCUCCCUUGACUCGCUGGUUGGGGCUCAACUUGCCCAAACAUAUUUCACAACUGGUUUCUGAACAGGAAGUGGCCCAGAUUUGCAAAUCACCAUGUAUACCAGCUGCACAGUCCUGCUGUGGGUUUUGUUUCUCUCAGGAAACAGAUGUGUCACCCAUCAGCACCAACCCCUUUCUUUUGUUCUCAAAGAUCAAAAGAGUACAGCUUCCUGGCCUCUCCUGCCCUGGCCAUAGGCUCAUGCCAUGCCAUCAUGGGCAGGGACCUCAGAUUAACACUCUGACCUCUGCAACCUUUGCUGAUCUCAAAAAAGCUACAAUAGUC